CCAAUAGCGUAUAUUAAAGUUGUUGCAGUUAAAAAGCUCGUAGUUGAAUUUCGGGAUUAGUACGUUGGUCGUGCCUUCGGUACGUACUGGUGUUACUGGUUCCUACCUUCUGACGAACCAUCAUGUCAUUAAUUUGGUGUGGCGGGGAAUCAGGACUGUUACUUUGAAAAAAUUAGAGUGUUUAAAGCAGGCUCGCGCUUGAAUACAUUAGCAUGGAAUAAUGAAAUAGGACGUUGAUCCUAUUUUGUUGGUUUCUAGGAUUGACGUAAUGAUUAAUAGGGAUAGUUGGGGGCAUUAGUAUUCAAUUGUCAGAGGUGAAAUUCUUGGAUUUAUUGAAGACUAACUACUGCGAAAGCAUUUGCCAAGGAUGUUUUCAUUAAUCAAGAACGAAAGUUAGGGGAUCGAAGACGAUCAGAUACCGUCGUAGUCUUAACCAUAAACUAUGCCGACUAGGGAUCGGAUGAUGUUAUUUUAAUGACUCAUUCGGCGCCUUACGGGAAA
rnacentral:rRNA from 1 species